GACGAACCGUGCGAACGUUGUUCGGAUUCACUGGGCUUAAAGGGCGCGUAGGCGGGUUAUCAAGUCAGGGGUGAAAUCUUUCGGCUCAACCGGAAAACAGCCCCUGAUACUGAUAGUCUUGAGGGAGGUAGGGGCAGGUGGAACUUCCGGUGGAGCGGUGAAAUGUGUUGAUAUCGGAAGGAACGCCGGUGGCGAAAGCGACCUGCUGGAUCUCUUCUGACGCUGAGGCGCGAAAGCUAGGGGAGCGAACGGG
rnacentral:rRNA from 1 species